UAAGACAGAGGGUGCAAACGUUGUUCGGAAUCACUGGGCGUAAAGCGCGUGUAGGCGGCUUCUCAAGUCGGGUGUGAAAUCCCAGGGCUCAACCCUGGAAGUGCAUUCGAAACUGGGUGGCUAGAGUACUGGAGAGGAAGGUGGAAUGCUUGGUGUAGAGGUGAAAUUCGUAGAUAUCAAGCGGAACACCGGUGGCGAAGGCGGCCUUCUGGACAGAUACUGACGCUGAGACGCGAAAGCGUGGGGAGCAAACAGG
rnacentral:rRNA from 1 species